rnacentral:rRNA from 1 species
GAUUUCCCUAGUAACGGCGAGUGAAGAGGAAAGAGCUCAAAGUUGUAACCUAUUUGGCUUAGCCAAAUCGGAUUGUAAACUGGAGAAGUGUUUUAUGGCACACCGGGUAAAGAAGUCCCUUGGAACAGGGCAUCAUAGAGGGUGAGAAUCCCGUGACUUUGCCUGAGAAUAGUUGUCAACUUUAAUACGCUUUCAAAGAGUCAGGUUGUUUGGGAAUGCAGCCUAAAUUGGGUGGUAAAUCUCACCUAAAGCUAAAUAUUGGCGAGAGACCGAUAGCGAACAAGUACCGUGAGGGAAAGAUGAAAAGAACUUUGAAAAGAGAGUUAAACAGUACGUGAAAUUGUUAAAAGGGAACCGUUUGGAGCCAGACCGGCUUUACCGUAAUCAAUCUAGGUUUCGACCUGGAUGCACUUGCGGUAUGUGCCUGCCAACGACAGUUUUUUCUGAGGGAAAAAAUUAAGAGGAAUGUGGCCCCUCGGGGUGUUAUAGCCUUUUAAAAAAUACCUUGGAUUGGACUGAGGAACGCAGCGAAUGCCAUUAGGCAAGAUUGCUGGGCGCUUUAACUGAUAGAAGCUAGAAUUUCUGCCUUGGGUGGUGCUAGUUUCUAAAGGGUAAACUCGUUUAGUAUAUUUUUUAUUCGCUUAGGUUGUUGGCUUAAUGACUCUAAAUGACCCGUCUUGAAACACGGACCAAGGAGUCCACCAUAAGUGCGAGUAUUUGGGUGGCAAACCCCUAUGCGUAAGGAAACUGAUUGAUACGAAAUCGCAAGAUGGCAGUAUCACCCGGCGUUGACGUUUUAUACUGAACUGACCGAGGUAAAGCAUUUAUGAUGGGACCCGAAAGAUGGUGAACUAUGCCUGAAUAGGGUGAAGCCGGAGGAAACUCCGGUGGAGGCUCGUAGCGAUUCUGACGUGCAAAUCGAUCGUCAAAU